AGAGUUUGAUCAUGGCUCAGGAUGAACGCUAGCGGGAGGCUUAACACAUGCAAGUCGAGGGGCAGCACGGUCCAACGCAAGAAGGACUGGUGGCGACCGGCGCACGGGUGAGUAACGCGUAUGCAACCUACCCUGUACUGGAGAAUAACCCGGAGAAAUUCGGACUAAUACUCCAUAACGAUAUAGAGAGGCAUCUUUUUAUAUUUAAAGCUCUGGCGGUACGGGCUGGGCAUGCGUAACAUUAGCUAGUUGGCAGGGUAACGGCCUACCAAGGCAACGAUGUUUAGGGGUCCUGAGAGGGUGAUCCCCCACACUGGUACUGAGACACGGACCAGACUCCUACGGGAGGCAGCAGUGAGGAAUAUUGGUCAAUGGGCGCAAGCCUGAACCAGCCAUCCCGCGUGAAGGAAGACGGCGCUAUGCGUUGUAAACUUCUUUUCCAGGGAAAUAAAAUCAGGUACGUGUACCGGAUUGAAGGUACUCUGGGAAUAAGCAUCGGCUAACUCCGUGCCAGCAGCCGCGGUAAUACGGAGGAUGCAAGCGUUAUCCGGAUUUAUUGGGUUUAAAGGGUGCGUAGGCGGGAAAAUAAGUCAGUGGUGAAAUCCUACAGCUUAACUGUAGAAUUGCCGUUGAUACUGUUUUUCUUGAGUAUGGUCAAGGAAGGCGGAAUGUGUAAUGUAGCGGUGAAAUGCUUAGAUAUUACACAGAACACCAAUUGCGAAGGCAGCUUUCUGGCCCAUUACUGACGCUGAGGCACGAAAGCGUGGGGAUCGAACAGGAUUAGAUACCCUGGUAGUCCACGCCGUAAACGAUGAUCACUAGCUGUUGGCGAUAUACUGUCAGCGGCAAAGCAAAAGCAUUAAGUGAUCCACCUGGGGAGUACGGCCGCAAGGCUGAAACUCAAAGGAAUUGACGG
rnacentral:rRNA from 1 species